GUGCCAGUGCAGUGCAAUACAAUACAGACUGGUGUACUUAUACUGUUUUAUGUCAAUGGUAUGGUAUGAUAUGGUCAGUAUGACUGGUGCAACAUGGUACUUAAAACCUUGGUUUAAUGCCACUAAGCAUGGUUCUUUUCAUUUUUCUUUACAUGUUUCCUUUGCUGAUAUUUUUUUGUCCCUUAACUAUUAUGCUUCUCUAAUAAACCUGUUGACGUCAAGAUAUGCCGAACCGGUACCAGUCGGCGUACCGGUGGAGAUCCGAACCGGUUCGGGUGGUUCGGCCGGGUUUCGGCUACGACGAUAUUUUUUUUUUGGAGAGUUCUCUCUUUUUGGAUCUUUUUGUAUGAAAUUAAGUCAUUUGUUAUUUUUUUGAUGUUUUUUGAUGUUUCUAUGUUUAGAUUUAAGGUCUAAGCUAGAUGAUGUAUCUUAUUACUUCUAAAUGAUACAAAUUAUAAAAUGAAGAACAUAAAAUAUCUUCAAAUUAAGAUACAAUCAAUUACAUACAUUUAAACCACUCUCGGAUAUCUAAAAUCGGGUCAGAUGGCGAUGGUCCUCGUUGAUAUUCGGAUCAUAACUAUAGUCAGGAGGAGGUAGAUU
rnacentral:lncRNA from 1 species